rnacentral:rRNA from 1 species
GAUGAACGCUGGCGGCGUGCCUAAUACAUGCAAGUAGAACGCUGACGGAGGAGCUUGCUCUUCUGGAUGAGUUGCGCACGUGUGAGUAACGCGUAGGUAACCUGCCUGGUAGCGGGGGAUAACUCUUGGAAACGAUAGCUAAUACCGCAUGACAACAGUUAUUGCAUGAUAACUGUUUAAAAGGGGCAACUGCUCCACUACCAGAUGGACCUGCGUUGUAUUAGCUAGUUGGUGAGGUAACGGCUCACCAAGGCGACGAUACAUAGCCUACCUGAGAGGGGGAUCGGCCAAACUGGGACUGAGACAAGGCCCAGACGACUAAGGGAGGGAGCAGGAGGGAAAUUUCGGAAAUGGACGGAAGUCUGACCGAGCAACGCCGCGGGAGGGAAGAAGGGUUUCGGAUCGGAAAGCUCUGUUGUAAGAGAAGAAAGAGUGUGAGAGUGGAAAGUUCACACUGUGACGGUAUCUUACCAGAAAGGGACGGCUAACUACGUG